GUUUCUAAAGAGGAAGUCUUGAUGCACCAAGGGAUGGAAAUAGCCUGCGGCUAUCUAGCAGGCUCGGUUUUCUCUAUUGCAAAAGCCAUCCCACCUUGGGAGAGCGACCAGGGUGGUUUUGGGCACAGUUGGUGAACAUGGCUGCUUGCAUCCCAACCACAUCUGUUCCCUUUCUUAAUGGGCUAUUCCACUUCAGUCUUUGAUCUUGUCAGAUCUUGCAAACUAAGCUGGUUGGAGGUUAGCCAGUGCUUGGAUGAGCGAUUUCAUAGGAGUUCAUGAUGCUGUGAGAAUUGUUUGUGUCUGAAGAUGGCACCUUCUGCGGUGAGUCAAUGCUGAACAAAUACCCCAGCAUGGAGCCAGGGUGCUGGAACGCCAUGGGCUCCAUCUGCAGAGGAUGUGUAAAAUGCAGCCAUGCAAUCUGAUUUCCUACGAACUGCAGAAUGGAUGUCCUGGCCAAAAUCAAACGUAUGUAAUUAAUCCUGCAUUCAGAUAUUACUACUUUUCACCUUCUCCUAACCUGUCGCUGAGGUUUUCUGUGCAUGGCUGCAGCAUUUCAGAGAAGGAUGGAGAAGGAGGUUAUGUUGGGAGAUGCUGACAGUUGCUUCCGUGCAUGUCCAGUGUGCAUGAGUGGUGUACAGUGCAGGUACAAAACAGAUGGCCAUGCAAAUGUUUGGCCAUUUAGAAAUCUGUUAACACCCACUUGCAAAGUGUCACAGCCUGUUUGUACACACCAUGUCCCACAGGCUCCUCCUUCUCCUGAAGGGGAAGGUGGUGCAGCUUAGCACAGAGGUGCUCGGGGAUGUGUCCGCGAGCUGCCCGGGAGGGCGACCUGGGGGGGCAUGUCUGAGGGCUCGCGGUGCUGCUGGGGGAGCAGCCGUCUGCGCUGGGAGAAGCACUUGUGUUAACGUGGAAAACAACCAUGGAAAGCUGACCAUCAUUUUUAGAGCACUGUGGGACUUUUAUGGCAGUGUUCUGCAAAAGUGUCUCAUUCGCUGCUAGUGAGUGACCCCCUAACCACAUUGACAAGUAAUCACUCACAUGGGUAAUCCUAUUGACAUUAGUUGGGCCAGAGCUGCAUCAUUACAAUUUAGCAAAUAACUAUUCAGUUGUUUAGACUAUAAGUGUUUCUAAUUUAUGUAGAAAUAGAAGUCAUUUCUGUCUCAUUCAUUAAAGAAAACAUGAUGUGAAUUAUCACUUACUUAACAUAUGCAGAAAAAGGCAGAUUUUAGACAGCACAACACAAUAAAAAGAAUGAAUCUUUUCCCACCAGUGGUAAUGGGAGAUUCGUGAUUGAUGUCCUUCAUGUUUUUCUCUUACCAAACUGGUAAACUUAGGUUGACUCGAAUGCUGGCUGCUUUCCAGAUAAGAUGUCAUCAGUCAGGAAUACCCUUUGUUUAGAAUUCAGUUAAUUCUUUAGUUAGUGGUGGAUGGGCUCUGGUGUGGUCUUGCAGAGCUGCAUGGCUUUAUGGAGCUAAUAUCAGCGAAGAGCCAAAAAAUAUUUUUGCUAGAGAUGUGCUGAUACAACUCUGGGAUCACAUACAAAGUAUGGAGUGGCUGAAAUAACCUCUUGUAUUUUGUGUUGACUGGGAUACAGCUCUGCUUCUUUGGAAGCUACUGAAGUCCACCGUCCUGCCAAAUUCCUGUUUGGAAAUUGGAUCUCCCCUCCUCAAACCUCCCUGCAGCUCCACCCUGAUCAAAUGUUGACUGUAGCAUAUAGACAGGGACGCAACAUUCGGCUGCUGCCACACUGUGCCCUGCGUGACAGGGAGGAUUGUCCCUCUUUUUGGGUCCUUCAGGCCUCAUGAACACUGAAGCAGGAGCAGCAUCACCAUGCGAGCUCACAGUCUGUGUAAGCACACUAAUGGUCCCUGUUUUCAGCCUAAUGAAAUGCUGGGGGUUUAAAACUUCUGUUGGCUGUGAAAGUGGUACAGGUUGCCUGCAGAAAAGUUGGGGCCUUUUUACAGCUUGUAAAACAAUUUUAUACUGUUUUCUGCUGAAUUGACUGUCUUGAAUCUCAGCUGGUGGAGGGCAUGGUAAGGUGACAGUGGAACCGUUUCCCUUGGUGUCCCUGGGAUCACCCGCACAUGAGGAAGUGCCGAGUCCUGUGGCCAGGGACUGAGACUCUCCUUCAGUGGCUGGUGGUCUUGGAGGUGAGGGAAGAGCUGAGAGGCCAUUUCGGGCUUCUGAUUUCCCCUGAUGCAAGGCACAGCCCCCUCCCCUGCAAAGAGCAAUACCUGGGGCUGUCACCGGCUGAAUUACAAAGUGUGGAGUGGGUUGGGGAAACAACAAAUGCCUUCUAAGUUAAAGAGGAAAGAAAGCAAUGAAGCACUCCAACAACAACAAAACCCAGACCAAAGUGUUUAUAAAUACAUAUGGCACAGCUUUUCGGAAGCCACACUUGUAUUUAUUUUGAUAGCAGUGCUGGAAUGCUAUUUUUGUCUGUUUCCCCCCUUUAUUCCUACCUUUAAAUACACAGUGAGAGCUUUCCUAAUUAGGGAAACAGAAGUUUCAAAGAAAAGACUUUCCUUGUCAAGGCAUUUUCCCACACUUGGGAGAUGGAUGCCUUUUUGAUAAUUCCUCAGGGUUUUUUUAGGAAAAAAUGUGUUCCAGCUGCAAUUUGUACAUGAUCUCCUGAGUAGCAAAGGUAAAUAGUUUAAAAAGAAAUCUCUGCAGGUAACACAGGAAGAAAAACAAGCUGAUAACUUUUGACAGAUUGGUGGCUUCUUCCUUCAUUGAAAUAUUCAUAGAAUAGCACAUCUAUUUUCUUUUCAUGGAUGUGCUUGUUAAUGCUAUAUCAUCUAACCUGAUCUGUAUGGGAAGUGUAUUUAUUCUAGAACCAUGGGGCAUUUAUACUGUUGACUUGUCAUCAAGAAUAAUGUAGAGGACAGGUAAGAUAAUUUCAACUCUAUUAAGGGUUGAUAGAUGACUUUACAUAUUUUGAUAAUGGGUCACUCAAGAGUGAAUGAUCUGAAAUGCUUUUGUUGCAUAUUUGCUAAAAAUGCACCCUGUUAAUGUUCCCCCCCCGCCCCGCCUCCCCCCUGUCUUUCCUCUGUUUCACUGUUAAACGAGGGCACCUAGAGGGUUGCCCUGGGACAAGGAGACAUCAACAGCCACUUUGGGCUCGCUCAAGGGACUAACGAGGGAAAGACGUGAGGGUGCAUGGGAUCUGCUGGUUCACAGGUGCUAUUUGGUUCAAACAAUCCCAGACUGCUGGUUCCCCACUUCCCCCUUGUCUGUAAAGAGAGAUCAGUGUUAAGCAUGGUGAGAUGUCUUUGGGCACAGUCAGAACUGGGGACUGAGGCAACAUUCCCAGAUGCAAAGGUACUUCAUCUAGUGACAGCCAACCAGGGGUUUAUUUCCAGGCCUAUUGAAGCAGCUGGUCUCCAAAAGCCCUCUCCUAGUCUUUAUCCGGUGGCCAGCCAGUUUGCAGGCAAGACUAUGUUCAUUAACUGCUAUUGGUAUUCAGGCGUCAGAGGAGCCCUGCUGCUUUGCCAGAUGCUCUCCAUUUUCUGUCUGUGCAGUUGAUUCCUCCUAAGCAUAAUUCUUUGUAACUGCCUUCACGACAUUUCAUCUGACUGAUUCCCUAGCACUUCCACCAUCAUCAAGAAUGUUUUGAAUUCUGAUCUUGUCUUCCAGAGCACUGGCAACCACUGCCAGCUUGCUGUCAUCCACAAAUUAUGUUGGUGUCUUCUCUGCUCCAGCCCCUGAGUCUGAGCAGGAGCACGCCAUGGGUCUCCACUUUAUCUGUCCCCUCAUCUUCAUGGGGGAUGCUAAUAAGCGCUCUUUGGCUGGUGAUUUUCAACAUGCUUCAUAAUUUUGUUAUGUUAAUUUUAUUUAGAUUAUGCUUUUUGAGCGUUAUGAGAGAGUUUUAUGGAAUUGUGUAUAAAGCCUUGCUAACUGAGAGGCUGUAUCUCACACUGCCCCGGUGAUGAGGUCCUUUGCCCAUUCUGUAUUCUGUGCUUUCCCUCCCUGCUGUGCCCUCCUCUUCCCUUACCAGAUCAAGUUGUUCUUAAGUUAGAUUUUAUUUCUAUUAUUUAUUCUUGAGAAAUUUAUAAAAACUUAUAUUGGCUGUGUCUCUUGGGCCACCAUCUAAUCUUCUAGGUGAUAACAAGUUGAUUGAUGAAUAAUAGAUUCCAGUAUCUUUCCAGCUGCUUAAAAGGUGCUAUAAUUUCUAAAUGCAUCCCUUAAGAUAGAGGUAGCGUUUGUCCUUCCCCAGGAGUUAGCUUUUAAUCAGUCCAGUUGCCUUUACGUUAUUGAAAGCUUCUUUUCAUUGCAAUAUACAAAAGAAAUAUUUGGAAAUAAGCCAUUUAUGAUGUACAAGUGUGUAGCUUAGGGGCCCAAAGUUUUGGGUGCUGCAGAAAUCCUGUAAGUGAUAUUUGCUGCUCUGGAAAACUUCCUAAAUGUUAAAGUAGGCAAAGUGGUCAACUGAAGGGACUGAAAACACAUACACAAGGAAAUUAACUGAAUUGCUGAGGUAUAGAUCAGUAGCGCAAUGGAGAUUAAAAGUCAUCUUUCUGGAAUCCAGAUCAAAACUUCGCCAUUGCUCUGAUAGCAUUUUUUUGACACUGGGGAAAAGACAGAAAAAUAAAACCGGUCUCUUGAAAACAUUCCAAACUGAAGAAUAACAUGAAAUGUGAUUUAAUAAUUUCAAAGAUAUGGAUUUUAAAAAUCCUAGUAAGAACUCUGAAACCAGAUUUUUUUUUUCAGUUAUUCUGUAUUUAUAAUUUCAGUAUGGAAGGUAGCUAUUGAUACACUUGCCUCAUAAUGCCUCCAAGACACUUGGAGAGCUGAAUUUCAUCUUCUUCCAUUACUGUGGAUACAAACAAAAAGUGGUUAUGAAUCACUCUUCAUUGAUAGAAGGAAUUUAUUUGUCCAUUUAUUUUACUGGAGUGUCUGCUGAAAUUGAAGUUCUUGAUUAAUGAUCUACAGGAGGUAAUGCCGAAGAAAUUUGCUUUUGCAACCGCAAGGAAGCUCUGUGAGGAUGUAGUGGGUUGUGUAUAAUAGUGACCCUAAACAGAAAUGGUAAUAUAAACCUUACAAACACACCAGGGUAGAACAUCGUGUGGAGACAAGGGUCACUCACUGCUGAGCAAAAGCAUUGCUCUGGCCACAGACUGAUACGGAAAUGUGUUGGGUAAAGUUGUUCAACACCCUGCUUGUCAGAAAGAAUCAUUAAGGUAGUUCUACUAGAAAUGUAAACAGAUCUCAUUUGCAUGUAGGUCAUUGCUACAAUUAUUUCCCAGAAACUUCUAUGUCUAACAAGAUAAUGGAGCUAGUGUAGUACAAGGAGGAUCUGGUGGCCAACAUUAACCACAGCUUUUGGAGCAGGGUCGCCCAGGGCUGCCACUGCCCUUGCUCAGGCAGACUUUCUUGUGCUACCUUUUUAUUUUACUUUCUUCCUAGUUCUUUUUUUUUUUUCCUUGCUCAGCUUAUCCUUUACCAUACAGGUUAUAAAUUCUCCCUUCUGCUAUUUUCUGGCCUGCACCCUCUUAUUAGCCUCAUGCACUUGCAAAAUGCAGGUAUGCCAGACAGCCACUUUACUCCUAUCCAAGAUUAUUUCUGCCUGUAGAGCCAUUGCAUUCUUUAAAUAGCACAGUUUUUCCUGCUUGAGUGGAUUUUCUGAAAUUAAAAGCCUUUUCAAGAGUGCUGCUCCAUUUUAUAAAGCAUACAUCGCAUGGACUGUUUAUUGUACGCAGAUUUUAUCAAACUCGUGUUUCAGCAUGUCCUUGGCUUUUUCCACAGCCCACGUGUGGCCGUGGGGCCAAGGUGGGGAUUUGUCCUCAGUUACUAUCUCAUUCUUCCCCCUUUUUAUCAGUUUCGGGAUUACCAGUGUUACUAGAAGGUAAGAUGUCCUAUCUGCGUGGAAGAUUUUACUGAAAUCGGUGGAUGUGGCUUUGUGUGGAAAGGAAAAAGGUAGGCAAAUAAAUGGAAUUUAUGUGUUCCUCUUGCAGAAGCACAGCAUCUGAUGAACAACAUCCUUAUAAAUACAUGGGUUUACCUGAAAAUGUUUGCUGCUUGCACAGGUACUUGCCAAAUGUGCCCCGAUCGAGCCCAAGUUGACCUACCUGCAAGAAGGUGAAGCUCACCUCCACACCGAGCGUGUUCCUCAGCUGGAUGCUCCAGCCUGGGGCCGUUCACUGCAGCUGGAGGCAAAGGCACCUUAAAAAUGUAACUAGUCCUGUUAAGAAGUUUGAUGGAAGUUGUCCACUGAAGUCCUGGGCCAGCUAAGUCCUUCUGGGUCUUCAUUUGACUUCAGCGAGAGUCACAAAAUCUGUCACAAACCCCCUGGAAUCAAUACUUGGACUUCACCCCAGGGAACGGGAGGUGUGAUAACGUGCUAACUGCAGUUCUGGCUUCUGAUGUACCUUUUGCACCAUCAGAACUGAUGAAACAUUUUAUGGAGAAAAGAGAAAAAACAAUGAAUCAGGGAGUAUCCCCCUAGGCUGGUGAGUACAUGUGGUGUGAUUAAAAUAGUGAUAUUAACCUAAAAUAGCGUUAUUAACCUCAGUGGAGGCAAACAGUGGAUUCAGAGUAGAAAAAUAAAGUCCAUGCAAGCAAACCUCAACCACAUGGAAAAAAAUCUUGACCAUAAAAGAAAAAAUACAGCAGCUGUUACACGAGGCUUUGUGUCUAAUGGUCCAAAAUACUGCCAAGCAUUGAACAACGUUUUGUGUGCAGUUACUUCCCUAUAUUAAAAAUAACACACCAAAGCAUUAAACUGAAGGUAUUUACACUAUAUAACAAAUUGCUUAUUUACAUGUAUGUCCUUGCUGACUGGCUGUGGUUGUUUCUGGAGAGAAGGCAAUGGCAGGAAGGCUGUUCGGGAGAGAUGCUUAUGGGAUGCUGCAAUAGUUUUUGGCUGAGCAUAUAUAAUUGACUUAAUCUUAAAACAAUUUGCUGUAUCAAUAAUGAAGCACCUCUUAAUGGACUUUUGACUGGUCAAGUGUCAAGGCAGAUUGUGUAGCGUGGAGCAAAAGGAGAGGAACAACUUCUGUCAUUGCAUAAACUCAUUGCAGAGCAUGAAUAAAUCAGCCUCUCUUGCUGGCAACCAUUUCAUACUGCUCUGAGACUUCUGAAGUUAACUUCCUCUGAUGUAACAUAUGCCUGCAGUUUAAAAGCAGCCCCAUCCUUUUAAGAAAAAGUACCUAAUUUAUGCACUGCUUUUAACUUUUAUUAAAAGAGCAUGCUUAUGAACUCUGAAAGAGAGAAAUAGCUGAAAAUGGAGGUUAUGCUUUCUGCCGGGACUGACAUGAGCAUCUACCCGGAGAAGCUGUCGGGAGUUCACUGCAUCUCCAAACGCUGAAAGGCCUGCAGUGUUGCUUUGAGGUUUUAUUUAAUUGUAUGAACUGUCUUCUGUUAUAAAGGCUCUGGGUAAGGUCUUUCUUCACUACCAUUCAAAUAUUACUUCAUAUUUUUGAUCUGAAUUUCACAUACUGUCUUCUGGGAAUUUCCAUAUGAUUCUGCUCUGGAAUGAUGCUAUUAAUAAUGCUGCUGUGUGCUCUUAUGGCUGUUCCCCUGCCCUGAAUGCUGUGUUUUCUUAUAUCUGAGACACAGCGGAGAGUUUUGGCACAAUUGCAUACAUGAAAAUAAACUACAGCUAUACUGGUAAAACUCUUCAUAAUACUUCAAAUCUGUAAUUUGCUCAUGAGUCUGGAUAGCAAGGUUUCUGUGGCUGUAGAAUAUGGAUGAAACCAAGAUAAUCUGUUUAGCAAAUUAAUUUAUACACUUGAUUAAUCUUCUUUGGGGUGUGCAUCACCAUGCUCCACCUUUGAAAGGUGCUGAGGGUUUCACUCUGAGAAAAAGCUGGUAGAUUUAGGGACAGCUGAGGAUUUCAAAGCUAAAUGUUUAUUUGCCCCUUCCCUACUGGGAAAAUCUGCACAGUGUUCAGAGUUUUGGCCAUGUUGAAGGUUAUAGUUAUCUUUGCUGUUUAAAGAUUUCCCUAAAUCUAACAAGAAAAAGAUUGGAUUUGAUUCCUCCUCAGAAAGCAGAUGCUUGCGUUAUUAAAAAAAUAAGAAAAAUAAAAGCCUCCCCCCCAAUUCCCAUGUUAUUCCACAACAGGAAAUACUGUGUUCUGAAUAAUCCAAAUCCCAAUGCAGUGUAUUUAUAAGUAAAUAGAGUAGUUCUGUCAUGUUCACAUCUAUAGGAUCGAUCAAGGCUGCCUGGGAGAGUGAGAACCUCUGUGUGUCAACAACAACCCAGUUAAUACUGCCCUGCUGCUGACUUUUCUUUGUUUCAUUCUCGUUUUUCUUAAAUGCAGGCAACCUUCCUUAUAACGAAUGUCCCUGUGCCCAGUCAUCUCUUCGUUGCAGCACCAGAAAAAAACAGACAGAUGUUACGAUUUGCCUAGGUGGCUGAGAAGCAAUUUCAAGCAACAGGGAAGUUCUGACCGGGUAGCGUUCAUCAUUUCUAGUAGAGAAAUUAGUCAUGAUGACACAUAAGUGCCCAGCUUCGGACAGACCCGGGUGGGCUACAGGAUUGUGCCACGGAAGAAAAGUUUUCUUCUGACCUGCAGCAGCAGCAGAGUGACUGCCAAAGUGGGGCUGUGCCAUGUGCCCAGCUCCAGGCACCAGCCCACGCUGGGGACAUGCCGACCACUCAGUUGGUGCUGUCGUCACCAUGAGCCCGACUGCCUGGGUGCUGGGCACCUUCCCACAGGGGAUCUGGUCCAAAAAAGCAUCAGAGGCUCCAGCUCUUCCUGAUGCCCUGCAGGAUGUGCAGUGCUGGCCAGGGAGACGUGCUGGCCAAAGCUGCAGCAGAUGAACGCUGGAGCUGGUGGUUCAGCUCCCAGUGGGGACAACCAGCUGCUAUGCUACAGUAUGGCAAAAAGGAGAGGGGAGUGCUUCGUUUUAGAAGAGCUUUGGCUGUUUGUACAAGACACUGCGCAGGCUGAUGCUCUGCUGUUCAACCUGCCAUUUGCACUUGCCUCCUCCUGAGCGUAAGAAGUAUUUCAAAGACCAACCCCAUUGGAGUGGGCCACCAGCAGGGACAGGUGAGCAGAAGGUACGUACCCAAGUGCUUUCCAUGGCUGGUCCAUCCCUGCCGGCGAUGCCAAAGCACCUUCCAGCAGUAGCCAGCACCCCGCAGGCUUGCUGCCGCCAUGCGGACCAUGUGAAUUGAUGUAGUAUACACGCAUGGGUCCAUCUUUGGUUCUGUUUGCCUCUUGAGGAUAUUUAUAGGGCCUGGACAUGUCACAGAAGUUUGAUCCUCCAGCUCUCCUUCCCAGCACGCUUUAUCCUCCUGGUGCGUGCCUGACCAGGGAAAUUGGUGCUGAGAACAGAUCAGCACCGUCUGCCAAGGGAGAACGUUAAAUUGCAGUGAACAACUUACAAUCCACAGGGGGAUAGAAGUGGCUUCUGUUUCUGGGAAAGAAGGAAUACAAGAAAGCUUCAGCCUUGUCUAAGACUAACUUCAUGCACUAGUCUGACUGCUUGUAAUAGUUAUUUCUCAAACAGAAAUGGCUUACAAAUAUGAAUUGUUUGGGGUUUUGAUUUUUUGGGGGUUUUUUUUCCUUUCACUUUGUUCCUAGUCAGAAAGCUUCUUAGACAUGGGAAACAAAUGUUUGAAGUUCACCUAGACUGAAAACAACUGGACUUUGCACUUAAAAUGAAGGGAAAAAAAGAUCAGACUUUUCUUCCCAGAUUUUUCAUUGUUCCAAAAUAACUACGAUUAUUCCCAUUUUUUGUUUGUUACUGAGUUCUUCCAUUCUGUAACAUGUAAUUCUCCUAACUGGCAGAGAGAAUCAGAUAUGUCUGGCCUUUCAUCCUGACCCCCAUAAUUUUUAAAAAGUUGAUUAUAAGCAUGACUCCCUAGUACCCAUUUUGUGUCUUUGUAGCAUUAAUGGUCUAUUGAAUAAUACCCAACUCUAUUGUUUAUCCUUUUUAUUUUUGCUAAUGGCUGUCAUCAGUUUUGCAGCUCUGUGUUUCUUUACCUUAAUGUAAAUCUGGUGUCGAUCAGCCUGAGCAAAGCUGGGAACAGGAGAACAAGAUGGAGCAGAGGAUCGGUGUGGUCCAGGCAGAGAUCUUCCCUCCAUAUUGUACAUGCCUGUCAUAUUACUUCCAUGUCUGGACAUCCCCCAUUUUCAUGUUUUAUAUUCCAACUGCCAUGACAACCGAUGUCCUAACCACCAAGAUGUUUAUCUGAAGCCCCAACCACCCUCUGGGACCAGAUAGCAGCCUGGACCCCAGCAUGGAGGGAGCCCACAGGACAUCCAGUUGCCAAACCUUUAAUGAUGUCUGAUUCUGUGCAACCUGCUUCUUGUUCUGCUCCAAGGGCCAGAUUAAGAAAUGUCCAAGAUGUUGGGACUGAUAUUUUUCAGACAAAUGAGCACAGAAUGUGACAUUUGUGUCCACCUGACCUCUUGUGUCCAAGCUAUAAGCAUCUGGGAAGUUCCAGAUGGUGGGAGCCAGCAAGGAAAAGGCAAGCCUGAUCCUUCUGCCUGUUCCUCUCAGCUGUUUUUGGCUGGAAAUGUCAGAUGAGCUGCAGGUAACUUUCCUUUGCAUGUUAAGAAGUGGGUGAGCCCCCUCCACUUGGCUUCCAUGGCUGCUGGCCUGGCUGGGGCAGGAGCUGUCCGGGAGGCUUUGCCGGCUCAGCUGGAGGGUGCCGCUCCUCUGGGCCAUGCUGCUGCCCUUGAUUUCGCAGGCUCUCCUUGGUGGCUUAAGUAACCGACAGCUCCAAGACCUCUCCUGUCACUGUUCAUUCCUUGGAGUGCUCCAUGGAGGGGAGAAACCUCAGCUUGUACACUUUGUGGAGAAGUUGCAUAAAGGCAAAAGGCAUCUAUGGGUUAAAUGCUGAAUAUUUCUGCAAAAUCUGGCAGUCAGAGACGGGUUUUCAAAACAGUUCUUCUGUGCAUGUAAGUGUCUGAAGUGGUUUUGAGCUCUUUGGGAAAUGCAGCCCCUUACAGUGACCUUCAAGCAAGCAGGAAAGAAUCAAGUCAUGGACACCGUGGACAAUGCCAGCUGGUCCCGGUAACGAGUAGCAAGCUCUUAGGAAAGCCUUGAUUAAAAUUCAGAUAUACUAUAAUCUCCCUUUCUUUUUCAGCUGUUAUUAGCAACACCAACUAUACAAAAGCAAUAGGAAAAUGAGGUGACUAGUCUCACCAGCCAGAGAGUAAGGGACGAAAGGCACUUGAAAUCAGAGACCAAGAUCCCAGUUUGCUUGUCUGAAUUUGGUAUGGAAAGAAUACACUCUCUGGGUCAUUCUGUAUUUCUUAUAUUGCAACAAAACACUGAGCACUCAGCCUAGUGACUGUCAAACAUUGUUAUUUAACAUAAAUUAAGUAGUAAAUAACAAGUAUCAAAGUUGUCUGAUGUAAACACAGUGGCAAAUUAGUAAAUUUGGGGUAGAGAUUGAAACAGUGUUCAGUUAUUUGCAUAUUACAGCCACAUCCACCCCUUAGACGUCUUAUGCCAUGUAUUAAUUCACUCGCUACACAAUUGCUGUCUCAAAAAUCUGACCCUCAUUUAGUAGCUUUAACCUCAGAUCAUUUGCCUGGUAGUUAAUAAUGCUCCUGCGGAGGUACUUGUGACGUGCGAUUCAUCCUUGCUUCGCAGGCUCUUCUUUAACAAUUAACAGCAUUAAGAACGCUCUUAAUAUUGUCAGCUACACAAUCAUUAUUCAGAUUUGGUGCUGGGGCUAUAAUUGGAACCAUCUGUUUGAGGCUUUCUUUUCUGCUCCGGCUUGCUGGUGAAGCUGUCAUCUCCUGCUUCUUCAUAUCAAGCAGAGCCCCGAGGUAAGAAAAUGCAGUGCUGGAGGUGGCCACAACCCUGUGCUGCUUCCAGACAUGAAACAAAGCUCAGGAUUAAUGAUAAAUGAAUGUAAUUAUAUUAUAUACUACUGACCAUAAUGACAGCACAUGGUUUCUGUAAACAUGCUGGCUGGUCUCUUGGGCAUGGUAAUGGGAUGUAUUCCCUCAUUUCCCAGGCUCUUCAAGUGACAGGGCCCUGCUGCCUUAAUAAUUAACAGAGCAGGACAGGGUGCUUUGGCAUCUCAGAGUGUGUGUGUGUUGGGGGGGGGGGGGACACCCAGCUGAUCUUCAGCGCCUGCGCUGUGGUCUGACCAGCCCUUGGUCAUGAUGCACCCGAGCAGCCAUGGGCAGGGCUGGACCCAGCACACCCCCUGGCCUCCUGCUGCGGUGCUUUGGGCUCCCCAGAAGGGAAGGGGGUUUUAAGGACUUCAGGUUUUGGGUUUGUGUGCUUCAGUGUGACCACUGGGACAAAGGAGCUUUAUUUACCUACUUCAGCCUGUAAUAAAGCCACAAGUCCAGACUAGGUCUCCACAGUCACUGCGGGGCAAGUUAUUUUGCUGUUGUCUGUUCAUACUGGUUGAUAGAACAUGACUGUCUGUUUCAGUGCCAGGAAACAAAAAUACUUAAUUUUCAUUGAAUGAAUCCAGAGAAAACCAAACUACACAGUAGACUCUCUUUAUCCUCUCCAAUAUGCAAACAGAUUUAUGGCCUGUGCUCGGUUUGGUAGCACCCUCUAACCUUUGUGAUGGUCGUACUGAACCCAGUCAUUCCACUGGCCAGAUGGGUGGGAACUGUAAUUAAGAAUUUAACAUAAGCAUAAGUUUAAGCUUUUAGGUGCUGAAAGGCAUGCUGGUAUUCUAAUUCAAGCAGACAAACCUGAGCUUGUUGUAAACCAGCCAGGUCCCACAGAGAUAAUAGCAUACCUGCACCAGCGAAGGCUCUAGCAGAUCAUGUAAAACUAACGGAGACAGGGGCAUGUCUCCAAGAGAAGCCUACGUGAGGCUUGAGCUUUUCUCAUCCACAAAGCUAGCAAAAUCUGAGCUGGCGAGCUCAUACACUCAGUACCUCAAUAGAGGUCAGUUGAGUCUUUGAAUCUAUACCCUAAAAUCCUACUUAGAUUUCAUAUUCUAACUCAUUAAAAUACCUUUGUCACUUUUCUAUUUAUAUAUUUGCAUGUGUUUGUAUGUUUGUACAUAUAAAAAGGUUUCUUAAUUAAAAAGAAAAAAGUGGCAUGGCAUUUAAAGCCAUGCUACACAUUUAAAUGAAGCUUUAAAAAAAAAAAUAGAGGUUUUUGUAACAGACAGUAGAUGAACUCUUCUAUAUUCCCUGUCCUAAAGGACAGUAUUAUAAACUCUGCUGUCAAGAUACAAAGCCUCAAGGAUGCUGCUCUAUAAAUCAUACCCAUUAGUAAGUGUGGUGUUGAUUUUUCCUUGACUUUUGGACUAUUUUAAACCAGCGUUCAAUUAUUCUUUCAUGUGCUUGAGUACCUGCAGUGACUUUGACGUGGUGAUGAAGGUAGCUGCCAGCCCAGCCAGCCUGACCCACCACUCGCCACGCCGCAACCUCCCGCUUCUCCAAUUUCUCAGCUGAGCAGCCAAGUUGUACAGCUCUGACUCGAUCCGCCGGCAUCUCAUUUGCUUCCCCGGCUGCAUGGAGGGCUCAGACCACACGUACACAGUGAUAACAGCUGACUUUGUUGGCCUCACAUUAGGGAGCAGCUGUGCCUUCCAAAAGCAAAAACGAUGGAAAAGAAUAAACAUUCUGGAGUUAAAAUGAUAAAUUGGUGCCCACGUACAAGCAGAGGGAGGCAACAAGUGGAUUCAUUUAGCAGAGAAAAUGCACGUAUUUAACAGGGACUUCAUCUUGCUGAAUGCUGAUGACUUCCACACCAGAAAGUAUGAAUUCUCCACAGCCAAGCCAAGGAAGCAACUCACAGGUGCCAGGCUGAGGGGUUGUUAUUAAUUUGCAUUCAGCACCAUGCAGAGAACUUUUUCCUUGAAUUGGUUGCACCGCUGAGAAUAAAAAACUCUUUUGGAUAGAAUAAGUUCCUAAGAUUUCUUGAGGGUGGAGGAGAGCACUCUCCUCCCUUUUUCAUGGGUACUGAAGACUUUCUUAGGAAGGAUUAUAGUCACUGCCUGCCCAUGGGGAAUGAUUUCUCGCAAGCAGCAGGCCAGCCUGACCUUUGACACACCUUGCUGCGCCGAGCGCACGAGGGCCAGCAGUUCUGCUGGGUGCCCGCUGCGUGUGUGGGGAGGGGGUGCUCUGCCCUCCCCCAGUGGGACUUCUGUUGGCUUCAAACCUACCCAGCAAGCCAGCGCGAUGCUGCCAAAGUCAUCAUCACUGCACAGCAUGGGCUCCUGAAAUUAUGCAGAAUUAUGCAUGCAAGUUGCUUUCUGAAAUUAGCUGCACAUGUUUAUAUUAACAUGCAAAUAAAGCAACUUCAAAAUAAAACAAAAACAUGAAAAUGUCUAUUCAUUAAGUUCAGUUUUAUGGCAUAAUUGAUUUGUGUGGGGUGGGCAUGUCUGGUGCUUUCUCUGAUUACCUUCCUGAUGCUGAAGAAAUCCACAACAAUCAUACUGAUAACAAACCAUUUAAACAUAUUCAAUUAAAUUACUGGUAAUUCUGAAAUGGCUCAAUAUUGCACAUGGGUUAGUUUAAUUUUUAUGUAAAUUCUACCCCUGAUUUAGCAAAGUCUUAAUUGUUUAACAGCAGAUUAGACUAAAUUAUUUUAAUUGAAUUUUAUGUGAAUUUUUUACCUCUGCCUUCAAGGAACCCAUUCAUAAAGCUUUUUCUUUCAGAUGUUGUGUACAGAGAGAAUUGCAUGCUGGUGCCUGUUCUUCCGGCUUCACUUUAGGCCACUAUAUAUUUCAAAUCCAAGUAAAAUCAAAAUGUUGCUCAUUUUGCAAGGGAUGUUCAAAUCAGAAAGGUAAAUGCUGAAUUUGGAAAUGGAACUAGAGGAGAGAAAAUGAGGGAUCGAAGCUGGGGGACAUUUAUUCCUGAGGUUGAAUACUGUGAGAGUUUUGGCUAUUUUUCUCUUCCUUAGCUGUAUUUUUGCAUUGUUGAGAUCUAGAUCCCUUUGGGUUUGUGCUGCCAUACUUUUGAUGAGUAUAUACGUACCUACAUGCACAAUGCAGAAGUUGUUUAGGCUGCAGAAUUAAGCAACGGAGACGUAAGUGCUGUUGUGCUGCAGGUCAUGCCUGAGCAGAGCUGUGUGAGUACUAGCUAAGUAGUUCUCACGUGGGUUGCUGGAGCUGUGCUUGUGGGCUGAGCUUGUAUUUUUUAUUUUCCAGAUGAAGGCAAAGUGCUCUGGGAUGGUGAGUGAUGCAAGAGAACAGGUUUUCUUUUCUGAAGGCCCAUGACUACGCCCCACAAUAAACUUUGCCUUCCCACUUCCUCAGAGAUCAGAGAUGCUGGUUAUGACUGUAAUCCCUAGUUUCCUGCUGGUUUUAAUAAAAAAAGGGUUGUAAAUUUUAUUUUCUGUCACUACUGCUCAGAAUUCCUCUUCUUAUUAUUUAGUUGAUGUGUUGGAUUUUGAACUGUUUCUGGCUGACAGCUUGCUUAGAAACAGCAUCUAAAUAGCAUGUAAAACAUUGGCAUUGCCAGAAUCCAUUGCCAUGGGCUCGAUUUUGUGUUUCCGUGUGGCUCCCUGCUAGCCCUGGAAAGCUGAAAUCAUGAGCAGACACUAAAUCUGGCACUUCACGUGGCAGCACAGGUUAGUGCAGCCCGUGCUGUGACAGCAGCAAGUCAGAGGCAUAAAUGCAAGAGGCAACAGGAGAAAUCUGAAAUCAGACUAGCAGGGUCUCCGCCACGAUUCCUAGAGCACCAGGAGAUGCUUCGCACGCACUGGCUGCAAUCAGGGCAGCACUGAGGGAAGCAAGGUGGGCUUCACUCGCAAAUGCCUUUCCUGCCUGUGUCCUGAUUUCCAUGUUCAGAGAAGAAUCUUGUUCUGAAUCCUGCCUGAUUGUUCUUCUAGUAGAGUAGAGAGAGGAUUGAAGCUAUGCACUUUCUUCUUUAUCUUUUUUUCUGGCUUUGUAAUUCAUCUUUAAACACCUAGCAGUCUGUCGUCGGAUAUCAAGAGAUGCUUUUUCCCAUGGAGCACAGUGUGGUGGCAGCAAAGGCAACAGAAGUUCAUGCGACAUCUGCCCAUGUUCUGCUGCUUUUAUUCUGGCACUCAGAAACUAAAUUUGUGGAAGUUACAUGUAAACAACAAAUUAGCUCAGCUAGCAUGUCACCCAGGCCACCUGAGACGUGGCUGCUCACCUCUCAUCUGUUUCUAACUCUCCAAGCCACGACACUUGUCUUCUUCCAUCGUGUCACCACUGCCCACGCGCUCCCCUGGCCAAGGCUGUGCUGGCCCUGCCUGUGCCGCUGUCGGCUCCCGGCUUCCGCCGCUCCCCCCAUACCUCCUGCCCUUGCGUGCCCCUCACGCUGCCGUCCUUGUCUGGCAAACCCGUUCCCACCUCCCCUUCUGCUGCCUCCGCCAGGCCUUGGUGUGUGGCAAGGCUGCCUGUCCCUGCGGCAGGACCACGGG